CAAGUCGAACGCGAAAGUUCCCUUCGGGGAGCAAGUAGAGUGGCGCACGGGUGAGUAACACGUAGGUAAUCUACCUUUGGAUUGGGAAUAACAACCGGAAACGGUUGCUAAUACCGAAUAAUGCAGCGGCACCUAAUGGUGACAGUUGUUAAAGCGGGGGAUCGCAAGACCUCGCGUCUGAAGAGGAGCCUGCGGCGGAUUAGCUAGUUGGUAAGGUAACGGCUUACCAAGGCGAUGAUCCGUAGCCGGCCUGAGAGGGCGGUCGGCCACACUGACACUGACAUACGGGUCAGACUCCUACGGGAGGCAGCAGUCGGGAAUUUUGGGCAAUGGGCGAAAGCCUGACCCAGCAACGCCGCGUGAAGGAUGAAAUCCUUCGGGAUGUAAACUUCGCAAGAACAGGAAGAAUAAGUAAGAGUUAAUAUCUCUUACGAUGACGGUACUGUUUGUAAGCUCCGGCUAACUCCGUGCCAGCAGCCGCGGUAAUACGGGGGGAGCAAGCGUUGUUCGGAUUUACUGGGCGUAAAGGGCGGGUAGGCGGCCACCGCAAGUCAGUUGUGAAAUCUCCGGGCUUAACCCGGAAAGGUCAACUGAUACUGCGGGGCUAGAGUGCAGAAGGGGCAACUGGAAUUCUCGGUGUAGCGGUGAAAUGCGUAGAUAUCGAGAGGAACACCUGCGGCGAAGGCGGGUUGCUGGGCUGACACUGACGCUGAACUGCGAAAGCUAGGGGAGCGAACGGGAUUAGAUACCCCGGUAGUCCUAGCCUUAAACGAUGAAUGCUUGGUGUC
rnacentral:rRNA from 1 species